GACAGAGGGUGCAACCGUUGUUCGGAAUUACUGGGCGUAAAGCGCGUGUAGGCGGCCCUGCAAGUCGGAUGUGAAAUCCCACGGCUCAACCGUGGAAGUGCAUUCGAAACUGCAGGGCUAGAGUCCUGGAGAGGAAGGUGGAAUGCUUGGUGUAGAGGUGAAAUUCGUAGAUAUCAAGCGGAACACCGGUGGCGAAGGCGGCCUUCUGGACAGUGACUGACGCUGAGGCGCGAAAGCUAGGGGAGCAAACAGG
rnacentral:rRNA from 1 species